rnacentral:misc_RNA from 1 species
UUAAAUAAUUUAUAUUUUCACUCAGACUGCAAUCUUCAGACAGAGUUCUAGGUGUCUUCGGCGGGCGCGGGCCCGGGGGCGGAUGCCCCCCGGCGGCCAUGAAGGCGGGCCCACCGAAGCAACAAGGUACAAGAGACACGGGUGGGAGGUUGGACCCAGAGGGCCCUCACUCGGUAAUGAUCCUUCCGCAGGUUCACCUACGGAAA